GCCCAAAAUUCCUAAACGUUCAGGGCAAUUACCCCCAAACUCAAACCAAGCUUUCCCUUUGUGAUAUGGAACCUUGUAGUACAAUUUCAUAAAGAUCCAUACACUUACGCACAAGUAAUUGUCCUAAAACUAGAAAAAUGCUUGUUUUUUGCCCCUUUUUGGCCCCUAAUUCCUAAUAUGUUUAGGCAAUUACCCCAUAAUCAAUCCCAGCCUUCCCUUUGUGGUAUGGUACAUUGCAG
rnacentral:lncRNA from 1 species